GUGUUACAUUGUAGUUGGCAGAAGUGGACAUGGCUCAGGUUUUUGGGGAAUCUUCUGAUUCUCGCUUCCAUUUCUGAUGCGUUGUCUCAACUUCCCUGUUUCCUCAUAUACGUCUGUGAUUUACGACUUCCUUCUGUGCAAUAGUUCGCUGUCCCACUUCCAAACCCUAGAUCCUUCCCACCACUAAAUUUUCUCCAUAUAUAUCCUACAGCAACACCAACAGUUUGUAAUUGUCAGUUUCAACUUUGGACCUUAAGGUAAAAUAGAUGAAGUUUUGUAUCCAUGGUUUUUUUAGAUGUGUAAAGCGAAGAGAAAUCUAACCAGAAGCUGCUGUCUAGUUUUAAUCCGACUGGAGAAAGUGUGCAAGGGGAAGUUGAAAUCACGAAAAAUAACAUUCCAAAACAAUCAAGUAGUAUGGUAUAGAUUUCAACACCUUUUUUUUAUCCUGAUACAGGUAUACUAAUAAUUAGUCUUACUGCAAAACUGCAAAUCUUUUUAAGACCACAUGGUGUCCAUAACUUAGGCACUACAUGGCCACUAUAUUCUACACUUCUGGUCAUAAUCAACAAAUGGAAUCCUUUAUUACAUACUGUAACUUCACGAAGACUAUUGGAUGGCAUAGACUGCUUCUGUCAUUCGCUUGCAACCUUUGAAGGUUAUAGAAACUAUCAAAGGUCGAAUUUAGUAUUUUUGUCGUUUGUGAUAUGUGGCUCAUAGGUAAAUAGAUAAAGCCCUUUUACUUUGUUAUUUGAUUAAAUUAAGAAUGUUUGAAAGUUUAGCAGAUAAAUUUAUUAUUUUUGUCGUUUGUGAUAUGUGGCUCAUAGGUAAAUAGAUAGAGCCCUUUUACUUUGUUAUUUGAUUAAAUUAAGAAUGUUUGAAAGUUUAGGAGAUAAGUUUAUGUUUUUAUUAAGUAUAUCCAUAUAGCUGGUUAUGGAUGGUGAUGACAUGUUUCUGGUUUGUCUUGGUGGGGGAGUUGGACCAUACCUUACAUGCUGCAAAUGUUGCAGAAUUUAUAGUGUUUUUUAUAAAACAUUAAUUAUUUAUAUAUCUACUUAUUUGGUUAUUUCAUCUGUGGUUUCUCAAAAUAAUAUGCAGGAAGGUCAUUCACCAUCUACAUAUAUUCGCGUACCGAAACUAUUUGACUAUUUGAUUCGAAAAAGGGUGUUGACUAUGGGGUGGAUGACCGGAGAAAGUCCAAAUGCAUUACUCUCCAUGUGCAAUAUUAUGUAAUAGAAAAUUGAUCAGUUCUUUCUAUCCCUUAUUAACAGUAUAUUUCUAUUAUUUAACCAAAAAAAAAAAAGCUAAAAUGAGUUUCCAAUUACAUUAUAUUUGCUCAUUAUUGUCCUUCUUUGGCUAUUAUAAGUUAACACAGAUCAUCUAAAUGCUUAGUCCCAGUCAGAGAAUAUAGGUAAUUUUUACUAUUGUUCACCAUCAUUAGCUUACAUAAUUUUUAUAUACAUACAUGAUGUUUUGGCAAAAUUCAUGUGAUUUUCUCAUAAUUGCAGGAAAAGUGUGUGCAUUCUAUCACCUAAUGGUGCCAUAGAUUAUCUAUAAAAUCAGUUUUUUUUUUUUUUUUUUUUUUUUUUUUUUUUUUUUUUGUAUUUUUUUGUAUUUUUUUUAUAAAUUGUUAAAAAAAAUACAGGGACAAUUUCAGAUCUUAUCUCUUUUUGACUCAUUUAUCAUUUGUGAGAGUGAUAGGCAACAAAACAGGACUGGUGGUUUAACCAUGUCACUUUCAGGGCUCGAUGAUCGUUUUUUAGGUUUCUGUUAGUAGAAUCUACAAGAUUUUCUGUUCAUGGACUAUUAGGAGUACCUGCUGUUUCUUAAAGCCCCCGGUCUCAUAAGUAAUUUUCAACAUAUUAAAACCCACCUCUACAGUAGGUUUCUCUUUCAUAUUUUGGACUUCUUUAGAUUAUUCUAUACUUUUUUUUCACUUUCCAUUUUAUUUUAAUUAAACGAUGUUAACUAAUAUGCAUCAGCACAAUUCAAUUGUCAGUAACUGCUAACACUGCCACAUCAGCACAAGUAAAGUAUCAAGCGGUUCUAAAUAUAGCGGUAAACUCCUUGACUUUUUUAAAAUUAUUGUUAGAGAUAAGUGACAUUUAAAUUUAAACAGAUAGUAUUUUUUUCAAUUUGAUUUGAAGAGGAAAUUAACAACACAUAAGGAUAACUAAUUCAGUAAAUAUCCAUAUCCGUGAAGUGAAGGGGCAAAAGGAGCCUCACACGGCCAAACCGACACUCGGUUUUUGGUGUUAAGAGUUCAUAUUCAGGAAAAUUGGUCUUCAUGCUUCAGAACAACAUUUCAUGGAUGGUCUUCAUUGGAGGACAAUGAUAACAUAUGGUGAUGUGGAUGAUUUCUUAGGUUCUGGUCGGGACAUUGGUAUGUCUUCGAACAAGAAGCUGAGUGUGGGGUGUAAUUUUAUUUGGGAUGGUGUGGUAGGCUUUUUUUUUUUUUUUUUUUUUUUUUUUUUUUUUUUUUUUUUUUUUUUAUCUUCGACUAUUAAUUUAAAGAUGAAUCGAAUUAUUUAUCUUCUAUAUUGUUAACUAAUCCGUACCCUGCAAAGCGGGGUUCCCCAUCUAACCCCGGUCUUAACCGAACCCCGCGGAGCGGGGUUUCCCCACUUGUUAUUAUUAUUGUUUGUUAAGAAAUCCAAUUGAAAGCCGUAUGUUUUUGUAUAAAAAAUGGAAGUGAUAUGAUAUAAUAAACUAAGAAACUUUCAUUGCUA